ACGGCUCAGUAACACGUAGCUAACCUACCCUCAGGACGUGGAUACCCCCGGGAAACUGGGGCUAAUCCGCGAUAGGUGUGGAGGCCUGGAAUGGUUCCACGCCCAAAUGCACGGCGAUCAUGUUUGUCGUGUGCCUGAGGAUGGGGCUGCGGCCGAUCAGGCAGUUGGCGAGGUAACGGCUCACCAAACCUUUGACCGGUACGGGCCAUGAAAGUGGUAGCCCGGAGAUGGGCACUGAGACAGGGGCCCAGGCCCUACGGGGCGCAGCAGGCGCGAAAACUCCACACCGUACGACAGUACGAUGGGGUUAUCUCGAGUGCAGUCCGAUAAGGGCUGCUUUUCCAUAGAGUAAUAUCCUGUGGGAAUAAGAGGGGGGCAAGACUGGUGUCAGCCGCCGCGGUAACACCAGCCCCUCGAGUGGUGGGGACUAUUAUUUGGUCUAAAGCGUCCGUAGCUGGCUGUAUCCGUCCCCCGUUAAAUCCAGCGUCCUAAACGUUGGACUGCGGGUGAUACCAUACAGCUAGAGGGUGGGAUAGGUGAGCGGUAUUUCUGGGGUAGGGGCGAAAUCCUUUGAUCCCAGGAGGACCACCAGUGGCGAAGGCUGCUCACUAGAACACGCCUGACGGUCAGGGACGAAAGCUGGGGCAGCGAACCGGAUUAGAUACCCGGGUAGUCCCAGCUGUAAACGAUGCUAGCUAGGUGUUGGGUCGGCCACGCGCCGCCCCAGUGCCGCAGGGAAGCCGUUAAGCUAGCCACCUGGGGAGUACGGCCGCAAGGCUGAAACUUAAAGGAAUUGGCGGGGGAGCAC
rnacentral:rRNA from 1 species